AGCGAACGCUGGCGGCAGGCCUAACACAUGCAAGUCGAACGAAGUCUUCGGACUUAGUGGCGGACGGGUGAGUAACACGUGGGAACGUGCCUUUAGGUUCGGAAUAACUCAGGGAAACUUGUGCUAAUACCGAAUGUGCCCUUCGGGGGAAAGAUUUAUCGCCUUUAGAGCGGCCCGCGUCUGAUUAGCUAGUUGGUGAGGUAAAGGCUCACCAAGGCGACGAUCAGUAGCUGGUCUGAGAGGAUGAUCAACCACAUUGGGACUGAGACACGGCCCAAACUCCUACGGGAGGCAGCAGUGGGGAAUCUUGCGCAAAGGGCGAAAGCCUGACGCAGCCAUGCCGCGUGAAUGAUGAAGGUCUUAGGAUUGUAAAAUUCUUUCACCGGGGACGAUAAUGACGGUACCCGGAGAAGAAGCCCCGGCUAACUUCGUGCCAGCCGCCGCAGUAA
rnacentral:rRNA from 1 species